CUCCCAUGACAAUCGAUCUUCGACUGAGCUUCUACAAUAAGCGGUCUCCUUUCAGCCUUCUACAAGAACCAGACUCCGUCCGAACUUCUACAGCGGAUGGAUUUCAGAUGAACUUCUACAGCGGAUGGGCUCCAGCGGCCAGAUUUCUACAAUGAUCGACUGUCUCCGAUGUCUUCCGUACCUCUCCAACCAAACUUCAGCAGCACCAAUCGGACUUCAACAGUUCCAACCAGACCCC
rnacentral:lncRNA from 1 species